rnacentral:piRNA from 1 species
UGAUAAUCUGUGCCGAGACAACCAUCU